rnacentral:rRNA from 1 species
CCGGUAGGUACUCGAGUGGCGAACGGGUGAGUAACACGUGGGUGAUCUGCCCUGCACUUCGGGAUAAGCUUGGGAAACUGGGUCUAAUACCGGAUAGGAGCCAUCUUUAGUGUGGUGGUUGGAAAGUUUUUCGGUGUAGGAUGAGCUCGCGGCCUAUCAGCUUGUUGGUGGGGUAAUGGCCUACCAAGGCGGCGACGGGUAGCCGGCCUGAGAGGGUGUACGGCCACAUUGGGACUGAGAUACGGCCCAG